rnacentral:tRNA from 1 species
GGAUUCUAAAUUAAAGUAUUCUUCG